rnacentral:rRNA from 1 species
UGUCCUUUUGAAGUUAGUAUAAGGUCUAGCCUGCCCGCUGAAUGGUAUUGAAGGGCCGCAGUAUUUUAACUGUGCAAAGGUAGCAUAAUCAUUAGUCUUUUAAUUGAAGGCUGGUAUGAAUGGCUGGACGAGGUAUAAUCUGUUUCAUUUGCAGUGAUUAGAAUUUUAUUUUUUAGUAAGAAAGCUAAAAUGAAUUUAAAAGACGAGAAGACCCUAUAGAGCUUUAUUAAUUGGUGUUUUAUAAUGAUGAAGAUGAAUUUUAUUAUAAAUUAUAAGUUAAUUUUGUUGGGGUGAUGUUGAGAUUGAUGUAACUCUUAUUAGUUAAAGAUACAUUAAUAUAUGAAUGUAUGAUCCAUUAUUGAUGAUUAAAAAUUUAAGUUACCUUAGGGAUAACAGCGUAAUUUUUUUGGAGAGUUCAUAUCGAUAAAAGAGAUUGCGACCUCGAUGUUGGAUUAAGAGAUAGAUUUGGGUGUAGUAGUUCAAAUUUAAAGUCUGUUCGACUUUUAGAAUCUUACAUG